ACGGAAGGCAGCAGUGGGGAAUAUUGCACAAUGGGCGAAAGCCUGAUGCAGCGACGCCGCGUGAGUGAAGAAGUAUCUCGGUAUGUAAAGCUCUAUCAGCAGGGAAGAAAAUGACGGUACCUGACUAAGAAGCCCCGGCUAACUACGUGCCAGCAGCCGCGGUAAUACGUAGGGGGCAAGCGUUAUCCGGAUUUACUGGGUGUAAAGGGAGCGUAGACGGUUUGGCAAGUCUGAAGUGAAAUGCGGGGGCUCAACUCCUGAACUGCUUUGGAAACUGUCGAACUAGAGUGCAGGAGAGGUAAGUGGAAUUCCUAGUGUAGCGGUGAAAUGCGUAGAUAUUAGGAGGAACACCAGUGGCGAAGGCGGCUUACUGGACUGUAACUGGCGUUGAGGCUCGAAAGCGUGGGGAGCAAACAGGAUUAGAUACCCUGGUA
rnacentral:rRNA from 1 species